AGAGUUGAUCAUGGCUCAGGAUGAACGCUAGCGACAGGCUUAACACAUGCAAGUCGAGGGGCAGCAUAAAAGUAGCAAUACUUGGUGGCGACCGGCGCACGGGUGAGUAACGCGUAUGCAACCUACCUAUCAGAGGGGAAUAACCCGGCGAAAGUCGGACUAAUACCGCAUAAAACAGGGACACCGCAUGGUGAUAUUUGUUAAAGAAAUUCGCUGAUAGAUGGGCAUGCGUUCCAUUAGGUAGUUGGUGAGGUAACGGCUCACCAAGCCGACGAUGGAUAGGGGAACUGAGAGGUUGGUCCCCCACACUGGUACUGAGACACGGACCAGACUCCUACGGGAGGCAGCAGUGAGGAAUAUUGGUCAAUGGGCGAGAGCCUGAACCAGCCAAGUCGCGUGAAGGAAGAAGGAUCUAUGGUUCGUAAACUUCUUUUGCAGGGGAAUAAAGUGCAGGACGUGUCCUGUUUUGUAUGUACCCUGAGAAUAAGGAUCGGCUAACUCCGUGCCAGCAGCCGC
rnacentral:rRNA from 1 species